rnacentral:misc_RNA from 1 species
GUAAACACUCUUCUCUUUCUUUGUACUUCAGUUCUACUCCCUUAGUGAAAUGGUUCCUCCUUUCCCCAAAUCAAUUGAGUUCAGAUUUCAGAACAAGUAAUGCCUUGGAUUAGAGAAAGAGACAUCAAAAAAAUAAAUACAGCAACCAAUAUCAUUGCUUCAUGUUUAAGCAGGAAAAUGAGAUCUGCUGCAAUGAUAUACAUUUAGAAAAAUGAAAUGAAAAAG